AAAUACUUUAAUAGAUUUUUAAAAUACAAUUUAAGGCAGGAUUGCGAACCCCUCGAAGCUUAGACUGGCACUGUAUUCUGAUUUACUGAAGAUGUUGGUCUUAUCCUGCGCCUCUGUUGCUUAUCCUGUUCAAUGGUUGAGGGUUUCCAUGGCCACACAAGUUCGUUCAAGAACUCAAGUUUCUUUCCACCGCCAUGACAAUCCAUUUGUUCCUGAGGUUGUGAAAGCUCUAGAUUCCUUAGAUGCAGAAUUCAGAGCUGUGGAUUAUUUAGUGGCAUGCAAUACUUCCCGUGUCCUUAAAGCUUUCCAGAAUGCUCGGGUUGGAUCUCAUCACUUUGGUGGAUCUACUGGCUAUGGUCAUGAUGAAGUUGGGGGACGUGAAGCACUUGACCAAGCUUUUGCUGAAAUUGUAGGAGCUGAAUCUGCAAUAGUUCGUUCACAGUUCUUCUCAGGAACCCAUGCUAUCACUUGUGCACUGUUUGCUUUCUUGAGGCCAGGGGACGAGCUUUUGGCAGUUGCUGGUGCUCCUUAUGACACCUUAGAGGAAGUUAUUGGAAAACGGGAAUCUCAUGGAGCGGGUUCCCUGAAAGAUUUUGGAGUCGAGUACCGAGAAGUUCCACUGGCUGAAGAUGGUGGACUUGACUGGGACGCACUUACGAGUGCUUUGAAACCUCAUACAAAAUGUGCUCUCAUCCAGAGGUCAUGUGGUUAUUCAUGGCGUCGAAGUUUAAGUGUAAAUGAGAUAGGGAGGGCCAUAGAGAUGAUCAAGAUGUACAAUCCUAACUGCUUGGUCAUGGUGGAUAAUUGCUAUGGUGAAUUUGUUGAGAAAAUUGAACCUCCAAUGGUGGGUGCAGAUCUGAUUGCAGGCAGUUUGAUUAAAAAUCCAGGUGGAACCAUUGCACCAUGUGGUGGGUAUGUUGCAGGGAGAAAAAAAUGGGUAGAAGCAGCAGCAGCUCGUCUGUCUGCACCAGGGCUUGGAAUGGAUUGUGGUUCCACCCCUGGUGAUAUUAUGCGAACUUAUUUUCAGGGGUUGUUCCUUGCACCUCAGAUGGUUGGCGAAGCAAUCAAGGGCACCUUUCUGAUCGCUGAAGUCAUGGCUUCAAGAGGGUAUAAGGUGCAGCCUCUACCUCGUGUUACCCGUCAUGACACAGUCCAGGCAGUACAGCUUGGAAGCUGUGAACGACUUCUUGCAUUCUGUGAAGCUGUACAGAGAAGUUCACCAGUAGGUUCAUUCACUAAACCAGUUGCUGGCUCAACUCCUGGAUAUGCAUCUGAGGUCUGGCCAUAUCGUGUUUUUUGCAGCAUUUAUGGUGAUCUUUGCUGAUGGAACCUUCAUUGAUGGGAGUACAAGUGAACUAUCAUGUGAUGGUCCUCUCAGGGAGCCGUUUGCCGUUUUCUGCCAGGGUGGCUCUCACUGGACUCAAUGGGGCUUAGUUCUGGGAGAGGUGUUGAAACACAUCUGAUCCAAACAUGAUUUUGACCAUCAAGAGAUAUACAAAUGUGUUGAAUUCUAAUUUUCGUCGGACAUCAUUAUUUUCCAGUAAGCAUGAAGAAUUAUCAGUGAAAUCGUAAGGUUGAGCAAGCGUAUGCAGACAUCAUUGUUAAGGUUGCUUAAAAUCUUAUUUGCAGUAUCCGAAUUUCACCGACUAAUGUGGAGAAUGAUGAGUUUUGGGUUUAUUUAGAGGCAGAGAUUCCAUUUCGCAUUGAUAAAGUUCUAUGGAAGAAAUGAUUCAGUAGCUUCAACUUUUGAAACAAUGUACUAGUACACACUUAUUUAAAUGUGUAUACUCAACAUGGUUACUUACUGUCGUAGCUUUAAGGUUUUGGUCCAAUUUGUAGUCAUUCACGAAGCCAAUUGUGUCAAUUGGGUGAUUAGUUGUCCUUCUAUAUUUUAUAACUAGAAAUCAUGCUAAUAUUUCGACAAUCAACAAUAUGCAAUCAAAUAAUAUAGGCAAUCCUUCAAUAUAUUCUCAACAAUAUUCACUGUUCUCUCUGGCUUAUGUUAGAGACAGGUUUUACUCCCUUUCGGGAGUAUUUCUCUAGGCUUGUCUUAGCUUAUCUACCGGUCACCGACGUGGCUUUCCCUGCCCCUUUCGGGCAGGGAGGCUUCCUCUCUACCCGGUUGUGGGUCGUCCUCCUAAUAGUUUCUUUUGUUCUUAGCAGAUCAAAGCUUUAAAGGGAGGACUACAUUUAAUUAUGCCUUUUUCUUUUUUUUUUUCUUUCUUUCUUCCUUUUUUUGUUUUACUUUUCUAGUUGCAGAUCUGCAUGUGAGAGCUCCAUCAUCUACUUUUGCCUUCAGGCUUAAGGAGUCUUUUCUGGAGGGUCUUCUGGAUUUGGUGAGGAUAUCUCUAGAGCCUAUGAGCUACCGUCUUGCUUGCAGCCCACUUUUUUAGAGUCUAUAACCCUCCAGGCAAAAGAAAGCCAUGAGUAAUACCUCAUCCCCCUUCUUUUCUUGAUUGCUUGAAGCUGGUGUUGAACAUCUUCUCUACCGCUUCUUUGGUCAUGCUGCUCCAACUCCCAUCUCACCGACGGCGCUCCAAGUUUCUUCUGGUUUAGUUUGGUAGGGUUUUUCUGUUUAUGGGCUGACCUGUAUUUCCUCUUGAACUUAAUUGUGAGGGGCUUUGGACCUAUUUGGUUGGAAUAUCUGUUUGGGUUGUAUUAGAUCUUAGGCCUAAGAGAUGCCUGUAUUCUCUUAGGCCUGUAUUCUCUAAUCCUUUGUAAUGCAUCUCUAUUUUUAGAAAAAAAAAAAUUCACUAUUACCUCAA